rnacentral:rRNA from 1 species
CCCUUAGAUGUCCUGGGCCGCACGCGCGCUACACUGAGUGUCUGAGAUACGAGUCUGCCUGGUCCGGCAAGGUCUAGGUAAUCGCUAAAAGACACAUCAUGCUUGGGAUAGAUUAUUGCAAAUAUUAAUCUUGAACGAGGAAUUCCUAGUAAGCGCAAGUCAACAGCUUGCGUUGAUUACGUCCCUGCCCUUUGUACACACCGCCCGUCGCUACUACUGAUUGGAUGUUUAAGCGAGGUUCUCGAACUGCUAGCGACUUAGCUUCGGUGAGGUCGCAGUGCGGGAAGUGAACCUAGCUUUGGCGUCUAGAGGAAGUAAAAGUCGUAACA